CUAAAGGUAUGGCAGAGGUGAGUGUUUUGGGGUUUCGGCACGGGGUAUAUUUUUAACACCCUCUCAAUGGCUCACAAAACAGAAAAAUACUUAUCGACUUUAUUAACAUUGUUCUGAAAUACAAUUUGAAGCAUGAGCCUUUCCAUGGUGACAUAGUGCAAAUGAACGGAAGAGGGCGAGACAAGGCCUUAACCAAUAAAAGCAUUGGAACAGCAAUGGUGAUCACAUUUUCAGGGUGCAAAAGAUUGAAGCCUGUCACAAAUGCUCACUAUUCCUCCACGGUCACUAGAGUCAGAGCUGUGGGUUGGGUUUAAAGAUAUCCUGACCGGCUACUUGAAACGCGCCCAUAGUGCUGCUGACCUGUGUUUUAUCACAUCAUGUGAUGCUUGCUCAGAGCUUUUCAGUCAAACGGAAAUGGACGAGGACAAUCUCAAAGAAUAGACACCAGCCAAAGAGUGGUGCCUGUGUGUCACUGUGGCCAAUAACCAAGCACACGCACAUAUUCUGUCAAUAGCUUUUCAGUGUCAUUCUGUGCUACACCAAUGACCCUUGCCUUGUCAUAAUCAUUUUAUACUAUAAUGACUAUGUUAUACCGCACAUUUGAUAAUUAAACACUGAUAAUUGACACACACACACACACACACACACACACACACACACACACACACACACACACACACACACACACACACACACACACACACACACACACACACACACACACACACACACACA